CCUACGGGUGGCAGCAGUGAGGAAUAUUGGUCAAUGGACGAGAGUCUGAACCAGCCAAGUAGCGUGAAAGAUGACUGCCCUAUGGGUUGUAAACUUCUUUUAUAUGGGAAUAAAAUGUUCCACGUGUGGGAUUUUGUAUGUACCAUAUGAAUAAGGAUCGGCUAACUCCGUGCCAGCAGCCGCGGUAAUACGGAGGAUCCGAGCGUUAUCCGGAUUUAUUGGGUUUAAAGGGAGCGUAGGUGGAUUGUUAAGUCAGUUGUGAAAGUUUGCGGCUCAACCGUAAAAUUGCAGUUGAAACUGGCAGUCUUGAGUACAGUAGAGGUGGGCGGAAUUCGUGGUGUAGCGGUGAAAUGCUUAGAUAUCACGAAGAACUCCGAUUGCGAAGGCAGUUCACUGGACUGCCACUGACAUUGAUGCUCGAAAGUGUGGGUAUCAAACAGGAUUAGAUACCCGGGUAGUC
rnacentral:rRNA from 1 species